UCCAGUUAUUUAAAAUUCCUUCACUCUGGGAUGCCUGGGUGGCUGUCAGUUAAGCAUCUGCCUUUGGCUCAGGUCAUGAUCCCAGGGUUCUGGGAUCAAGUUCCACAUUA